CGGUGCCAGCAGCCGCGGUAACACGGCAGCUCUAGUGGUAGCUGGUUUUAUUGGGCCUAAAGCGUUCGUAGCCGGUUUAAUAAGUCUCUGGUGAAAUCCUAUAGCUUAACUGUGGGAAUUGCUGGAGAUACUAUUAGACUUGAGAUCGGGAGAGGUCAGAGGUACUCCUGGGGUAAGGGGGUGAAAAUCCCUGGUAAAUCCUAGGAGGACCACCUGUGGCGAAGGCGUCUGACUAGAACGAAUCUGACGGUGAGGACGAAAGCUAGGGGCGCGAACCGGAUUAGAUACCCGGGUAGUCCUAGCCGUAAACUAUGCGGACUUGGUGUGAGGGUGGCUUUGAGCCGUCCUGGUGCCGAAGGGAAGCUGUUAAGUCCGCCGCCCGGGAAGUACGGUCGCAAGACUGAACUUAAAGGAAUUGGCGGGGGAGCACCACAACGCGUGGAGCCUGCCGGUUUAAUUGGAUUCAACGCCGGAGAUCUCACCAGCGGCGACAGGCAGUAUGAUGACCAGGUUGAUGACUUUGUUUGACAAGCCUGAGAGGAGUGGUGCAUGG
rnacentral:rRNA from 1 species